rnacentral:rRNA from 1 species
GAUUCCCUAGUAGCGGCGAGCGAAGCGGGAAGAGCUCAAAUUUAUAAUCUGGCACCUUCGGUGUCCGAGUUGUAAUCUCUAGAAAUGUUUUCCGCGUUGGACCGCACACAAGUCUGUUGGAAUACAGCGGCAUAGUGGUGAGACCCCCGUAUAUGGUGCGGACGCCCAGCGCUUUGUGAUACAUUUUCGAAGAGUCGAGUUGUUUGGGAAUGCAGCUCAAAUUGGGUGGUAAAUUCCAUCUAAAGCUAAAUAUUGGCGAGAGACCGAUAGCGAACAAGUACCGUGAGGGAAAGAUGAAAAGCACUUUGGAAAGAGAGUUAACAGUACGUGAAAUUGUUGGAAGGGAAACGCUUGAAGUCAGACUUGCUUGCCGAGCAAUCGGUUUGCAGGCCAGCAUCAGUUUUCCGGGAUGGAUAAUGGUAGAGAGAAGGUAGCAGUUUCGGCUGUGUUAUAGCUCUCUGCUGGAUACAUCUUGGGGGACUGAGGAACGCAGUGUGCCUUUGGCGGGGGUUUCGACCUCUUCACACUUAGGAUGCUGGUGGA